ensembl:snRNA U1 U1 spliceosomal RNA
UCACUCACCUGGCAGGGGAGAGACUAUGAUUACAAGGUGGUUUUCCCAGGGUGAAGCUUAUCCAUUGCACUCCAAGUGUGGUGACCUCUGCCAUAUCCCCACUUGCAGGAAACUUGACUGCAUAAGUUGUGGUGGUGGUUGGGGGAAUUGUGUCUAGACUUUCCCUGA